ACAUGCAGAGAACUUCCAGAGAUGGAUUGGUGCCGUUCGGGAACUCUGACACAGGUGCUGCAUGGCUGUCGUCAGCUCGUGUCGUGAGAUGUUGGGUUAAGUCCCGUAACGAGCGCAACCUUUGUCCUUAGUUACCAGCACGUUAUGGUGGGCACUCUAAGGAGACUGCCGGUGACAAACCGGAGGAAGGUGGGGGAUGACGUCAAGUCAUCAUGGCCCUUACGGCCUGGGCUACACACGUGCUACAAUGGUCGGUACAAAGGGUUGCCAAGCCGCGAGGUGGAGCUAAUCCCAUAAAACCGAUCGUAGUCCGGAUCGCAGUCUGCAACUCGACUGCGUGAAGUCGGAAUCGCUAGUAAUCGUGAAUCAGAAUGUCACGGUGAAUACGUUCCCGGGCCUU
rnacentral:rRNA from 1 species